rnacentral:rRNA from 1 species
UACGAAGGGGGCUAGCGUUGUUCGGAUUUACUGGGCGUAAAGCGCACGUAGGCGGAUUGUUAAGUCAGGGGUGAAAUCCUGGAGCUCAACUCCAGAACUGCCUUUGAUACUGGCAAUCUUGAGUCCGGAAGAGGUGAGUGGAACUCCUAGUGUAGAGGUGGAAUUCGUAGAUAUUAGGAAGAACACCAGUGGCGAAGGCGGCUCGCUGGUCCGGUACUGACGCUGAGGUGCGAAAGCGGGGGGAGCAAACAGG